UACGUAGGUGGCGAGCGUUGUCCGGAUUUAUUGGGCGUAAAGCGCGCGCAGGCGGUGCGCUAAGUCUGCGGUGAAAAUCUCCCCUGGCUCAACCGGGGAGGGGGCCGUGGAGACUGGCGCACUGGGAGGGACCUAGAGGCCGGUGGAAUUCCCGGUGUAGUGGUGAAAUGCGUAGAGAUCGGGAGGAACACCAGGUGGCGAAGGCG
rnacentral:rRNA from 1 species